UUAUAUAUACACACACACACACACAUAUGUAUACAUGUAUAUAUGUGUGUGUGUGUGUGUGUAUAUAUAAAAUAUAAAAU
rnacentral:miRNA from 1 species